UGGGGAAUAUUGGACAAUGGGCGGAAGCCUGAUCCAGCAACGCCGCGUGAGGGAUGACGGCCUUCGGGUUGUAAACCUCUUUCACCACCGACGAAGCGCAAGUGACGGUAGGUGGGGAAGAAGCACCGGCCAACUACGUGCCAGCAGCCGCGGUAAUACGUAGGGUGCGAGCGUUGUCCGGAAUUAUUGGGCGUAAAGGGCUCGUAGGCGGUUUGUCGCGUCGGGAGUGAAAACCUCGGGCUUAACUCGGGGCUUGCUUUCGAUACGGGCAGACUGGAGGUAUGCAGGGGAGAACGGAAUUCCUGGUGUAGCGGUGAAAUGCGCAGAUAUCAGGAGGAACACCGGUGGCGAAGGCGGUUCUCUGGGCAUGACCUGACGCUGAGGAGCGAAAGUGUGGGGAGCGAACAGGAUUAGAUACCCUGGUAGUCCACACCGUAAACGUUGGGCGCUAGGUGUGGGAUCCAUUCCACGGGUUCCGUGCCGCAGCUAACGCAUUAAGCG
rnacentral:rRNA from 1 species